AGUGCUUCUCCUACAGCAGGGGAGGAAGAGAUCAAUACCAGUGUUCAUGAUCAGGUGAAUGUCCAACCUGAAAGUGUUGACUCCACUGAACAGGUGCCUAACGUUCAGCAGAUAGAGGACACCGAACCUGUAAUCAAAACUGUGAUUACAGAUUGUGAUCAUGACAGUGUCAUAAUGAACCAUAAUAUUGUUGACAAUGUUGACUUGCCUCACUGUGACUGUACAAGUGUAGUUCAUGAGGCUAGCCUCCCUCGCAAGUCAACACGUUUGACUGCAGGAAAGCAUUCAAACCCAUAUGCUUUGCCGAAGUCAGCAGUGCAAGAAGAGAUUGUCAUGACACCAGUUGAAAAUCCCAAAGAGACUGUUGAUUUAAAGUUGCUUUCGGAAAUGAGCAAAGCUCAUUUAUUGCUGAUGGAGAUGCUAUCAAAGUCCAGCAAAUAGUUGUCAUCCGUCCAUCCAUUGAUUAUACAUGUAUAAUACGGGUAUAUUUGCAUUCUAGUCAUAUCCUAGUCCUGUUAAAGUUGGAAUGUCUUUCUUGGUUAUGUUUUAUUAUUGACAUUUAUGCUGGUGCUGAAAAACUAAAAGAAAUCUCAGGAUGCAUACGAAAUACAUUUUCUUGCAACUUGCUAAUUCUAUAGAAGUUUGUACAUGUACUUCACGAAGAUUGUGCAACACCUUCAUUGUUAGUCUUUCAUGUUCAUGAUGUAAUGAACAGUAUAGUUAGUUGUCAGGGGCCAACUUUGCAGCAGGGGAGUGUAAAAGAGUUUUAGUACUCAAUUAUUGUACCUCCAGUCUUUGGCUCGUAAGCUUAUAAUCAUCGGCAAUUUCCGGAAGUAAUCGUAAAUGUCAAUUUUUUCCUAUUUUAAAUAAAGCCUUUCUCUGCAAUUUUGUGAGAUUGGCAGAACUAAUUAAUUUCUAUAUUCAGUUUAUUAAUUAGUAGUAUUUUCACUUUCUAUAUCUCGUAACGAAAAUGUUCCACAUUUUCCCAUGGUGCAUUUUGUUAUCAUCUCAUCUCGCACCAAGCUCAUGCUGAUGUAGUGUCUUUUCCCAGCAAGCCAUUUUCAACGUUUAUACUUCAUUUCCCAGAAAAUAACGAGAGUCACCAUGGAGAUGUGUUGCUCCAUCUGAAGUGUCUCAGCUGUUUGUAGACUCCUUGGGGGUUACGCCAUGGGUGGCUACGAUUCUAGCUACUACGGCGAAUAAACGAGAUUGAAGAGA